rnacentral:piRNA from 1 species
UCUGAUAGAGUUAAGCAGUACUGA